UGCUCGCCGGGUCGGGACGCUGGGGUUUGUGCCACCGGACACCGCAGGGAGCACGCAGGCCUCGGCGGCCGUGCCCACGGAGUCCCGGGGUCCCCUCCUCGCGGCCCCCGGUGCAGCCGCGCUGCGCCGGGGGGAAGCCCGUCGGUGACACGGGGACAGAUGCCCGCGACCGCGCAGCCAACGGGAACCAUCUUAGGAAAGACACCAGAAGAACAAAGUCCAGCAGUAAUCUUGAGAAGAAGAAUUCACAUUUAAAGUUCGGAAAGUGACAGAACAAAGAGUGAAGAGAAGCCCACGUUAAAAUGAGGUGGGAUGAGAAGAAGAAGAAAGAAGGCAAUCUGUGUGAUCCUGGAGGAAAACCCUUUGAAUAGAACCAAGGCAGAGAUUGGAGGACACAUGAAGGACGUGCUUCCUCUUGGAGAAGAUGCAGCCAGGAAAGAGGAAGACGUGAGACUGAGGACACAGGGGUCCCACCCGGGACAGAAGUGGAGGGAACUCCCAGGAGGGCUUCACCUGUCGUCAGACCCAGACUGCUCUGCCCCUUCACCCGGCCUCUCGUCGCCUCCCCACCUUCCUCCCACCCGACGACGUCACCAACGUGCCGGGGAGGGUAGGGGAAGCAUGGGGUGUGAGUCACUGGCCUGGCAGGCGUCACAUGACUCCCAGUGGUGUCUCCUUCCCCAAACCAAGGCGACGUCCGCCAGCUCCAAUUUCAGCGGGAGGACAGGCUGCCCCAGAGCCAGGCUUUGUGCCACGGAAGCAGAGAGCCUGAAAGAUCUGAACCUGAGGACGGAGACGAGCACGGUCUGCACCUCACAUCCUCUGGUGGCGAAGGAGUCGUGGGUCCGUGCGGGCUGCUGGCCGGCAGAACACAGAGGCAGAUGAUGGAAGCAGCGGGAGGGAGGCCAGGCCCUCCCCCCUGGUCCAGCACAAGGUCCCCCGCGUGCCCUGCGGGCUGCCCUGUGCAUCCACUUGUGCCCAAGUUGCUAACCCGGCCGCCCAGCAGCGGCUCCGAGCUCACGGCCAGCACUGUCCACGGUCGCCAGCUAAGAGCCCCUGUGCGUGUGCUCCAGCCUGGGAGGGGCAGCCACUGGGGGACACCCACAGGCGAUCUUCUGAGGCCCGUGGCAGAGACCCCGUCGGGGGAAGCUUCUGGAACACGCAGAGCAGUUAGUGCUGGAUGGAGACGACGCCUGCCAUCGUCCGCUGUGAAAAUCCCACCGUGUCCGCGCUGCCCGUGGCCGGCCUUCUGUGCUGAGACCGACCCGAUAUUAAACUGUGAAAUCUGAUGCCAGCGUAAGGGAGAGUGUUGAUGAUACCAGCCCCCACUCUCCGGGAGCCUUCGGUUCCAUGCACUGUGCGUUGCUGUGAGUGCUCCAACCUUACGAGACAGGGAGCGUCGUACUCAUUCACAGAGGAAGCGGUUGGCAUGCAGGAGGCCGGCGGUCUACCCAGAUCACACAGCACCUAAGUCACAGAGCCGGAGUGAAACGUGAAUCUGAUUGCGAAACACACGUUCGUCCUGGUCUACUCUGCUGUAGAAGGUCUCAGACAGGACAUGCUGAGCUCUGGAAAAUGGGAAUAAACAGGGAAAGAGCAAUAUUUGACGGAGCCAAAGACAAUGAUAUGAUAAGACAGUGCAGGGGGUUUGCAGUUCAGGACUUGGAUGGGAUGGACACACAUCACCCUGUCCCCCCUCUAAGUAGAGCCAGAAUCCCUGCACGUGAUGUGAAACAAACAUGCAAAGACUCUGAAAAGUGAAGAGAACAGACCUGCCAGGCGUGAGAGUGCGCUCCUAGACCCUGAACUGGGUACAGGGAACCAGCAGCCCAGGAGCCCCAGUGGGCACAGACCAGAGGGCCCAAGAAGAGUCUGCUGUCUCUGGCCAGAGGGGCGGCCUAGCAGGACAGAGGAUUUUGACUCAAUUACUGCCCUACACCUUCCGAACUCCAUGGAGAAAUCCACGACCAUCACUCCCACCCCCGACCCCAGCAAAGGCUGAGCGGGGACCUAGGGCCAGAACGUUUACUACCAUCUAGUGGGAAGAAGGCUGACACCAGCACAGCCAGGUGGUUGGAGAGGCCCAGAGCAAGGCUGGGUACCACCCUUGCACCCCUUCCUCAGGGAAACUGGUCGUCCCCUGACCUGGCAGCAAGAACAGCACCCCUCGCCCUGUUAGUGUGGUAUCAGAGGAAGCCUUCCGAAGCAGAAGUCGUCAUAACAGAAUAAUCCAAAUAUCCAGGUUAUAAUAAAAAGGUUACUCAUCAGACCAAGCACCAGGAAAAUCUCAGCUGGAGCGAGAAGAGAUGCUCAGCAGAUACCAACACCAAGAUGACCCAGAUGUUGGUUAUUUGACAAGGAUUUUAAAGCACCCUCAAAAUAAACUGCUUCAACAAACCAUGACAAACACACUUGAAACGAACAACAACAAAAAUAGAAACUCUCAGCAAAGAAAUAAAAGACACAAAGAAGAACCAAAUGGAAAUUUUAUAACUGAAAAAUGCAAUCACUGAAAUGAAAACCUCAGUGGAUGGGCUCAAAAGCAGACUGGAGAGGACAGAGGAAAGAACCAGUGAACUUGAGGAUGAACAGCAGAAAUUUCCCCAUCUGAGGAACAGAGAGAAAACAGACUGGAAAAAAAAACGUGGGCAGAGCCUCAGGGAGCUGUGCACCUAGAACAAAAGAGCGAACAUCCUGUCAUCAGAGUCCCAGGAGGAGGAGAAAGAAGUGGGCCCAAAAAGGCAUUCCAAGAAAUGUGGAUGAAAAGUUCCCCAAUGCAGCAAAAGACAAACACCUACAAAUCCAAGAAGCAGAGUGAACCCCCAACAGUAUAAACCCCAAAACUGCAUGACAGGAAGAUCAUACUCCAACUCCAACCCCCUUGCAGGGCUUCCUAUUGCUAAAUGGGAAAAUGAAUUCUUAAAAGCACUCUUCUUGGGCUUCCCUGGUGGCGCAGUGGUUAAGAAUCCGCCUGCCAGUGCAGGGAACACAGGUUCGAGCCCUGGUCCGGGAAGAUCCCACAUGUCGCGGAGCAACUAAGCCCGUGCACCACAACUACUGAGCCCACGUGCCACAACUACUGAGCCUGCGCUCUAGAGCCCGUGAGCCAUAACUACUGAGCCCGCAUGCCUAGAGCCCGUGCUCCGCAACAAGAGAAGCCACUGCAGUGAGAAGCCCGUGCACACAAUGAAGAGCAGCCCCCGCUCGCCGCAACUAGAGAAAGCCCACGCGCAGCAACAAAGACCCAAC